CCUGCCGGACCUGACUGCUAUCGGAUUGAUACUAAGCCAUGCGAGUCAUUGUAGCAAUACAAGGCAGACGGCUCAGUAACGCGUAGUCAACCUAACCUAUGGACGGGAAUAACCUCGGGAAACUGAGAAUAAUGCCCGAUAGAACACUAUAUCUGGAAUGGUUUGUGUUCCAAAUGAUUUAUCGCCGUAGGAUGGGACUGCGGCCUAUCAGUUUGUUGGUGAGGUAAUGGCCCACCAAGACUAUUACAGGUACGGGCUCUGAGAGGAGUAGCCCGGAGAUGGGUACUGAGACACGGACCCAGGCCCUAUGGGGCGCAGCAGGCGAGAAAACUUUGCAAUGUGCGAAAGCACGGCAAGGUUAAUCCGAGUGGUUUCUGCUAAAGGAACCUUUUGUCGGUCCUAGAAACACCGAUGAAUAAGGGGUGGACAAGUUCUGGUGUCAGCCGCCGCGGUAAAACCAGCACCUCAAGUGGUCAGGAUGAUUAUUGGGCCUAAAGCAUCCGUAGCCUGCUUUGUUAGUUUUCGGUUAAAUCUAUACGCUCAACGUAUAGGCUGCCGGGAAUACUGCAAAGCUAGGGAGUGGGAGAGGUAGACGGUACUCGGUAGGAAGGGGUAAAAUCCUUUGAUCUAUUGAUGACCACCUGUGGCGAAGGCGGUCUACCAGAACACGUCCGACGGUGAGGGAUGAAAGCUGGGGGAGCAAACCGGAUUAGAUACCCGGGUAGUCCCAGCCGUAAACUAUGCAAACUCAGUGAUGCAUUGGCUUGUGGCCAAUGCAGUGCUGCAGGGAAGCCGUUAAGUUUGCCGCCUGGGAAGUACGUACGCAAGUAUGAAACUUAAAGGAAUUGGCGGGGGAGCACCACAA
rnacentral:rRNA from 1 species